GUGGUGUUAAGACGUAUCUGCUUGACGUUCAUUAACCGCGCAAUAUGUAUAUAGUUUCAUCACCAGCUUUUGACUUCGUUUAAUCAACAUCACUGACAGAUUGCAAAGAAAAUUUCGUGGUUAGGAGGACAUUAUGCAAUUCAAAGGGAUGUUGUGGAGAUUCAUGAAAAAUUCAAGAAAUCCAAUAUCUCUCUUUAUGAAAGUAAUAAUUCAUUUAUUCUAACAGAGAUGGACCUUUUCGGGAAGAAACGCUAAUACAGACAGGUUUGAAUACGUUUUGCGCAUCGUGUUGUUUGUGUACUGCGCAGUUUUGUACUUAAUAAAGAAGCGCGCUAUAUUUGAUUAGUAAGAAGUAUAUUUAAAGCA